AUUGAACGCUGGCGGCAGGCCUAACACAUGCAAGUCGAACGAGUGGCGGACGGGUGAGUAAUGUCUGGGAAACUGCCCGAUGGAGGGGGCUAACUACUGGAAACGGUAGCUAAUACCGCCUACCAUUGGAUGUGCCCAGAUGGGAUUAGCUUGUAGGUGGGGUAACGGCUCACCUGGGCGACGAUCCCUAGCUGGUUUGAGAGGAUGACCAGCCACACGGGAACGGAGACACGGUCCAGACUCCUACGGGAGGCAGCAGUGGGAAAUAUUGCACAAUGGGCGCAAGCCUGAUGCAGCCAGGCGGCGUGUAUGAAGAAGGCCUUCGGGUUGUAAAGUACUUUCAGCGAGGAGGCGUUACUCGCAGAAGAAGCACCGGCUAACUCCGUGCCAGCAGCCGCGGUAAUUC
rnacentral:rRNA from 1 species